AUUGGACGCUGGCGGCAGGCUUAACACAUGCAAGUCGAGCGGAGCGAGGGUGCUUGCACCUUAGCUUAGCGGCGGACGGGUGAGUAAUGCUUAGGAAUCUGCCUAUUAGUGGGGGACAACAUUCCGAAAGGAAUGCUAAUACCGCAUACGCCCUACGGGGGAAAGCAGGGGAUCUUCGGACCUUGCGCUAAUAGAUGAGCCUAAGUCGGAUUAGCUAGUUGGUGGGGUAAAGGCCUACCAAGGCGACGAUCUGUAGCGGGUCUGAGAGGAUGAGCCGCCACACUGGGACUGAGACACGGCCCAGACUCCUACGGGAGGCAGCAGUGGGGAAUAUUGGACAAUGGGCGGAAGCCUGAUCCAGCCAUGCCGCGUGUGUGAAGAAGGCCUUUUGGUUGUAAAGCACUUUAAGCGAGGAGGAGGCUCUUAAGGUUAAUACCCUUGAUGAGUGGACGUUACUCGCAGAAUAAGCACCGGCUAACUCUGUGCCAGCCGCCGCCGUAA
rnacentral:rRNA from 1 species